AGAUUUUAUGAAAAACUAUUUAAAGGUGGAUUUAGCAGUAAAAAGAAAACAGAGUGUUCUUUUUAAAUAGGCCCUAGAGCGCGCACACACCGCCCGUCACCCUCCUCAAAAGAACAAUUAAUAAUAUAAUGACAGUAAAAUAAAAGAAGAGGUAAGUCGUAACAUGGUAAGUUUACCGGAAGGUGUACUUGGAUAU
rnacentral:rRNA from 1 species